rnacentral:rRNA from 1 species
UUCUACAACCACACCACCUGGAGCGUGCCCAGUCUCAUCUGAUUCCAGGAGCUAACCUUGGAUGGGACUAGCUAGUACUCACCUGGGAGAAAAAGCCAGUAAAAA